rnacentral:rRNA from 1 species
GAUUUCUGACGAAACUGCUAGCUGGCCCGCCACGCAAGUGUGUGAGUGCCGGCUUGGCGUUUGUCAUCCGUUCGAAUGAUAUGCGUGCUGCCCUUCACUGGGUUGGCGCUGCAUGUUUUCGAUCUUUUACUUUGAAAAAAUUAGAGUGUUUAAAGCAGGCUUACGCUAUGAAUACAUUAGCAUGGAAUAAUAAUAUAGGACUUUGAUUCUAUUUUGUUGGUUUCUAGGAUUGAAGUAAUGAUUGAUAGGGAUAGUUGGGGGUGCUAGUAUUCCGCGGCCAGAGGUGAAAUUCUUGGAUUCGCGGAAGACUAACUACUGCGAAAGCAUU